UACGAAGGGGGCGAGCGUUGUUCGGAAUUACUGGGCGUAAAGGGCGCGUAGGCGGUUUGCCAAGUCAGGCGUGAAAGCCCCGGGCUCAACCUGGGAACGGCGCUUGGGACUGGCAGGCUCGAGUUCGGGAGAGGACGGCGGAAUUCCCAGUGUAGAGGUGAAAUUCGUAGAUAUUGGGAAGAACACCGAUGGCGAAGGCAGCCGUCUGGACCGACACUGACGCUGAGGCGCGAAAGCGUGGGGAGCAAACAGG
rnacentral:rRNA from 1 species